ensembl:snoRNA SNORD94 small nucleolar RNA, C/D box 94
CAGGCUGUGAUGAUUGGCGCAGGGGUACGGACCUCAGCUAAGUCAUGGGAGCUGAGUGUGUGUGUUUCUCCUCUGUCCUGCAUGUGGCAGGAUGGUGGUGAGCACAUACACGAGACUGAAGCCUCACUCUGAGCCUG